GGUUUGGUGCUUCAUUUUGACAUUGUACUCACAAGCAGAUUCGAGAAAAGACAGAAAUUACAGAAAUAUCUUUCUUAACACCAAUGAGGUUUCUAGUCUGGAGGCUCCAUGCUUGACUAAGAUGAUGUAAUAUUGUCUCAGCUGCCAUGGAAUGCCACAAACAGGCGUCACAACUGAGGGCAAUAUGACCUCCAGCUUCAUUCUGCCUCCACUCUGCUCCAUUCCAUAAGGAAUUUCAUGCUGGAAUUUGCAAGCUGCUCCUUCGAGGUCUCCAGGAACUCAGAGUCCAAAGUUGCCUGUGGGGCUUUGACAGGGGAGCACGAGGUAAGGUUGUGUCUCUGGAAAAGUGGGGUUUCUACAUUAAACAUUUCCUCUCCACGUUUAACGAAUAAAGCACUUA